UACGAAGGGGGCUAGCGUUGUUCGGAAUUACUGGGCGUAAAGCGUGCGCAGGCGGUGAUGUAAGACAGUUGUGAAAUCCCCGGGCUCAACCUGGGAACUGCAUCUGUGACUGCAUCGCUGGAGUGCGGCAGAGGGGGAUGGAAUUCCGCGUGUAGCAGUGAAAUGCGUAGAUAUGCGGAGGAACACCGAUGGCGAAGGCAAUCCCCUGGGCCUGCACUGACGCUCAUGCACGAAAGCGUGGGGAGCAAACAGGA
rnacentral:rRNA from 1 species